rnacentral:rRNA from 1 species
UACGGCGGGGGCUAGCGUUGUCCGGAAUUACUGGGCGUAAAGAGCUCGUAGGUGGUUUGUCGCGUUGUUCGUGAAAACUCACAGCUUAACUGUGGGCGUGCGGGCGAUACGGGCAGACUGGAGUACUGCAGGGGAGACUGGAAUUCCUGGUGUAGCGGUGGAAUGCGCAGAUAUCAGGAGGAACACCGGUGGCGAAGGCGGGUCUCUGGGCAGUAACUGACGCUGAGGAGCGAAAGCGUGGGGAGCGAACAGG